GUUUGAUCCUGGCUCAGGACGAACGCUGGCGGCGUGCUUAACACAUGCAAGUCGAACGGGGUCCAACCAGUGGCAACACUGGGGAAGAUCUAGUGGCGAACGGGUGAGUAACACGUGAGCAACCUGCCCCGAAGACCGGGAUAACAGCGGGAAACCGCUGCUAAUACCGGAUACCCCCACCGGGCCGCAUGACCUGGUGAGGAAAUGGAUUCCGCUUCGGGAGGGACUCGCGGCCUAUCAGCUUGUUGGUGGGGUAAUGGCCUACCAAGGCGUCGACGGGUAGCUGGUCUGAGAGGACGAUCAGCCACACUGGGACUGAGACACGGCCCAGACUCCUACGGGAGGCAGCAGUGGGGAAUCUUGCGCAAUGGGCGAAGGCCUGACGCAGCAACGCCGCGUGAGGGACGAAGGCCUUCGGGUUGUAAACCUCUUUCAGCAGGGACGAUUGUGACGGUACCUGCAGAAGAAGCCCCGGCCAACUACGUGCCAGCAGCCGCGGUAAUACGUAGGGGGCGAGCGUUGUCCGGAUUCAUUGGGCGUAAAGAGCUCGUAGGCGGCUUGGUAAGUCGGGUGUGAAACCUCCAGGCUCAACCUGGAGACGCCACUCGAUACUGCCAUGGCUAGAGUCCGGUAGGGGCCCACGGAAUUCCUGGUGUAGCGGUGAAAUGCGCAGAUAUCAGGAGGAACACCGGUGGCGAAGGCGGUGGGCUGGGCCGGAACUGACGCUGAGGAGCGAAAGCGUGGGGAGCGAACAGGAUUAGAUACCCUGGUAGUCCACGCCGUAAACGUUGGGCACUAGGUGUGGGGGAUUAUCAACGUCCUCCGUGCCGUAGCUAACGCAUUAAGUGCCCCGCCUGGGGAGUAC
rnacentral:rRNA from 1 species